AGAUUACUUUGGCCGGAGAAAGUUUGAAGUAGAAUGAAGGUGUUGUAAUUCCUUUUCACGAGGAAAACGUUACAUGCAGCAACUUGUUCUAAUGGAAUUUACAAAAGUGAUAUGUAUGUAUUCAUUAAAUAUUGGUGUUAGAUUAUUUUAACCUUGAUUAGUGUUUGUCCUUGAUAUUGUUAUCAUUGAACAAGUUUCCUUUAUGGGAAAUUGCAGCACCGCUUAUUCUUUUUAUAUAAAAGGCAUAUUCAUUCUUUUGCCAUUACUUUCCUUGACACGUAUGUAAGCACUAUGUGCUGGUCAUUCUUUUUUCAUAUCAAAUUCACAAUGGGCUGCUCAUACAAGACUAUGCUAUAAUAUGAUCAAUAGCACCAAUGUUUUCCCUUCCAAUAAAAGAACCAUAGCAGCAACGUUUUUGCUAGUGUAGAGACAUAAAUAUAUGUUCAUUCUUGUCAACUUAAAUCGUGAAAGUUCACUUCUGAAAGAUGAGGGCAGCUGCUAAUUUAUAUAGUUGCAUCGUGAAUUUAAGGAUAUGGGCAGAAACGUACUAGUACAUUCAGUGUUUGGAAGUUUAAGCAACGACGCUAUUCGAUUUUUUUACGGGUUUUGCACGUCGCUUCAAUCUCGUUGUUCCGUCUUAUCGUGUUGUUGAAUUCGGGCUUUCUUCGAAGUGAAGUAAGGAGGAAAAAGAUUAUUUCUUGGCAUAUAAGAUUGGUGAAGCCCGAGACCUAAGUUAUGGUUAACUUGAGAAGCGGCAAUGUCCCAGAUUGUUUGGCAGGUUAAGCUAGGAUGCUUAGAUGUCAGCUGGGAUUGACAAGUUCCACCUCAUUCUGGAGCUGUGUUGAGUCAUGUAUAGAUAUGUAUGAUUACGGGUAUGUCAGGGCCCUGUCCUGACUCAUAAUGGAGUUCACUCCUUAGAGACUUCUGCAGACAGUGUCCUGUGGAAUGUUUAUCGAGAUGUCGACGAAAUGAUAUCAGUUGAGUCAUUUAUGGAUUUUAAAAGAGUAUGUAUUUUAGAUGAUUUAGAUGGGUCUAAAGUACUUAUUGAUUGAA